rnacentral:rRNA from 1 species
AUGAGAGUUAGUUUUUCAUCUCUCCGGAAGUAUGUUGAUACUUAUGGAUCAAUUUCAUCAAAUAGACUCCCUUUAGCUGGAUCUGUCAUUGGAGACCUGGUAAAUCAUGGAUCAGCCUGGGGCGGCGGAAUUAUAAAUAGCAUGACAAAUUUUUCUAUCCGGGAGGAAUGGCUAAAUCAUAUUCAAAUUAUCCUGAUUGGUGGUUCAUGGAUUGCUGAAAAAAUUGUCCAUGAAUCAGCUUCAGUUCUAGUGCAUUGCAGCGAUGGCUGGGACAGAACAACACAGUUAGUUGGACUUGCUUCCUCCUGCUUGAUCCGUAUUAUCGAACAUUAA